rnacentral:pre_miRNA from 1 species
ACAACAUUCGGACCGUUGGUCUACCGAGCAAUAUCACCCGCUCGGUGGAAGAUCUUCCCUCCGUCGU